rnacentral:lncRNA from 1 species
UAUUCGUUUUUCGUUGGUCCCUGAUAGAUAUUUAUUUGCAUUAUUCAUUCGUUGGUCCCUGGUGGAUAGUUGUCUUAUUGUUUAUUCGUUGGCCCCUGGUGGAUAGUUGUCUCAUUGUUUAUUCGUUGGUCCCUGGUGGAUAGUUGUUUUCAUUGUUUAUUCGUUGGUCCCUGGUUGAUAGUUGAGUUCAUUGUUUAUUAGUUGGCUCUGGUGGAUAGUUGUGUCAUUGUUUAUUAGUUGGUCCCUGGUGGAUAGUUGUCUCAUUGUUUAUUCGUUGGUCCCUGGUGAAUAGUUGUCUCAUUGUUUAUUCGUUGGUCCCUGGUGGAUAGUUGUCUCAUUGUUUAUUCGUUGGUCCCUGGUGGAUAGUUGUAUCAUUGUUUAUUCGCUGGUCCCUGGUGGAUAGUUAUGUUCAUUGUUUAUUCGUUGGCCCCUGGUGGAUAGUUGUUUUCAUUGUUUAUCCGUUGGUCCCUGGUGGAUAGUUGUCUCAUUGUUUAUUAGUUGGUCCCUGGUGGAUAGUUGUUUUCAUUGUUUAUCCGUUGGUCCCUGGUUGAUAGUUGUGUCAUUGUUUAUUAGUUGGUCCCUGGUGGAUAGUUGUCUCAUUGUUUAUUAGUUGGUCCCUGGUGGAUAGUUGUCUCAUUGUUUAUUAGUUGGUCCCUGGUGGAUAGUUGUGUCAUUGUUUAUUAGUUGGUCCCUGGUGGAUAGUUGUCUCAUUGUUUAUUAGUUGGUCCCUGGUGGAUAGUUGUUUUCAUUGUUUAUCCGUUGGUCCCUGUUGAUAGUUUUGUUCAUUGUUUUAUUCGUUGGUCCCUGGUGGAUAGUUGUCUCAUUGUUUAUUAGUUGGUCCCUGGUGGAUAGUUGUCUCAUUGUUUAUUAGUUGGUCCCUGGUGGAUAGUUGUCUCAUUGUUUAUUCGCUGGUCCCUGGUGGAUAGUUAUGUUCAUUGUUUAUUCCUGGUCCCUGGUGAAUAGUUGUCUCAUUGUUUAUUCGUUGGCCCCUGGUGGAUAGUUGUCUCAUUGUUUAUUCGUUGGUCCCUGGUGGAUAGUUGUGUCAUUGUUUAUUCGUUGGUCCCUGGUUGAUAGUUGUGUUCAUUGUUUAUCCGUUGGUCCCUGGUGGAUAGUUGUCUCAUUGUUUAUUCCUUGGUCCCUGGUGGAUAGUUGUCUCAUUGUUUAUUCGUUGGUCCCUGGUGGAUAGUUGUCUCAUUGUUUAUUCGUUGGUCCCUGGUGGAUAGUUGAGUUCAUUGUUUAUUCGUUGGUCCCUGGUGGAUAGUUGUCUCAUUGUUUAUUCGUUGGUCCCCGGUUGAUAGUUGUCUCAUUGUUUAUUCAUUGGUCUCUGGUUGAUAGUUAUGUUCAUUGUUUAUUCGUUUGUCCCUGGUGGAUAGUUGUCUCAUUGUUUAUUCGUUUGUCCUUGGUGGAUAGUUGUCUCAUUGUUCAUUCGUUGGUCCCAGGUGGAUAGUUGUCUCAUUGUUUAUCCGUUGGUCCCUGGUGGAUAGUUGAGUUCAUUGUUUAUUCGUUGGUCCCUGGUUGAUAGUUGAGUUCAUUGUUUAUUCGUUGGUCCCUGGUGGAUAGUUGUUUUCAUUGUUUAUCCGUUGGUCCCUGGUGGAUAGUUGUUUCAUUGUUUAUCCGUUGGUCUCUGGUUGAUAGUUUUGUUCAUUGUUUAUUCGUUGGUCCCUUGUGGAUAGUUGUUUUCAUUGUAUAUCCGUUGGUCCCUGGUGGAUAGUUGUUUCAUUGUUUAUUCGUUGGUCCCCGGUUGAUAGUGUU